AGGACAAACGCUGGCGGCGUGCAUAAAACAUGCAAGUCGGACGAGCCAAUCCCCGCAAGGGGAAAGGCUAGUGGCGAACGGCUGAGUAACACGUAGGUGAUCUGCCCUGAAGUGGGGGAUAACGACUCGAAAGAGUCGCUAAUACCGCAUGUGACCACCGAUCCGUUUUCGGUGCUCAAAGUCGUAAGACGCUUUAGGAGAGCCUGCGGCGGAUUAGCUAGUUGGUGAGGUAAUGGCCCACCAAGGCUUCGAUCCGUAGC
rnacentral:rRNA from 1 species